CCAAUAGCGUAUAUUAAAGUUGUUGCAGUUAAAAAGCUCGUAGUUGAAUUUCGGGAUUGGCGCAUCGGUCGUGCCUCACGGGGUAUGAACUGGUGCAGUCAAUUUCUCACCUUCUGGAGAACCGCGAUGUCCUUAAUUGGAUGCCGCGGGGAACCAGGACCUUUACUUUGAAAAAAUUAGAGUGUUUAAAGCAGGCAUUUUUGCUUGAAUACAUUAGCAUGGAAUAAUAAAAUAGGACGGCAUGGUUCUAUUUUGUUGGUUUCUAGGACCACCGUAAUGAUUAAUAGGGAUAGUUGGGAGCAUUAGUAUUCAAUUGUCAGAGGUGAAAUUCUUGGAUUUAUUGAAGACUAACUACUGCGAAAGCAUUUGCCAAGGAUGUUUUCAUUAAUCAAGAACGAAAGUUAGGGGAUCGAAGACGAUCAGAUACCGUCGUAGUCUUAACCAUAAACUAUGCCGACUAGGAAUCAGACGAUGUUAAUUUUUUAAUGACUCGUUUGGCACCUUACG
rnacentral:rRNA from 1 species